ensembl:lncRNA
GGGCAGAGGGGCCGAUGGGUACGUGUGGCACCUGGGGGCGAUUUGCACAGGCUGCUGGCCUGCUCAUCCGCUCCAGUUACAGAGAUUUGUGUGCGCAAGCAAGCGGCGGGAGGGCUCGGCCCCCAAGAGGCCCAGUGCCCAGGGAGACAAGGCCCAAGGGAAGAGAGCUGGGCCUCUGCUGGGAUGCCCACCACAGGACCUGGAGAAAUGUAGAGUCCCUCUCUGGGCCUAGUUCCCCUUGGGGACCCGUGAAACCACUGUGUCCCUCACUUCUAGACGAGACACAGGGCUGACCUGGGGCUGGGAAGCCAGCUGUGAGGAGCAGGCUGCGUAGCGUGUAGGCCCAGGUGGUCUGUGGCGUGGACGGUCACUGCGGGGAGGACACUGAAUGCCAGAGCAAGCAGCCAGGACUUAUCAGGAGGCCAAGUGGAGCCACUGAAGCAUUCAGCACAAGGACCCUGGUGGCGGCUGUCGGGUCCACUCCUGGCUCCUGCUCCAGCCGCGCGAUGUCCUGACGGUCUGGAAAACCCCCUGCGUCUUGUUCUUUGUACGUAAAACAAAAGCGAGGUUGGAACGGGUUCAGAACAGAGAAACCCCUUGCCUCUCUCUCUGGACAUCCCAGCGCCAAAAGCUCUGGCCAGAGGAUGCUCAGAGUCGGGCAACAGGGCGCAAGGAGGCAGGGAAUAUGCACAGCACGAGGAGGCAGAGCUGUCACCUGGACAGCAGGGAGGCUGGCGGGCGAGGAAGCAGGUAUCCCUUGGGGCAGGGGCCCAGGGGCCCAAGGUGGUCCUGUGAGCUGGAGACGGCAGGCAUUGGGCAGAACCUCAACUGGGGGGCCUGAACCCCAAUUGGUGUCAUUAGGGGAGCCAGCUGUGCAGCCGUGAGCCAUUGCUUAAGGAAAUGAAACUCGGGGAGGCGGCAGGAAUAAAACAUCCUGUCUGGAUGACGAGAAUGCCACAGGGCCAGCCACAACCCUCCGCUUCGCUGCUGGUCUCUUCUGCAGCUGCUGCCCCCCCAGGCUGUGAUCCCCAACUUCUCCCCACUCCUCUGCCCUCUGAGAGAUGGGGACAGGUGCCCCACAGGAUGGAUAUCUCUCCGCUGACCACACGUCCCCUUGGACUCUCUCUAAGCCUGGUUUCCUCAUCUGUAAAAUGGGGCUAUAAUGAUGCUUGCCCCAGAGGGUCAAUGGGAGGAAUAAAUUAAACCACGUGCAAGGGGGCAUGGCAUAUACAAAGCGCCUGGGACUUCUGGCUGCUGGUGUGAUCUGGUGUCACACCACACAGGGGCCCUGAGAGGCAGAGACACUCUGCACAUCGUACAGAAGAGGAAAACUGGGGCACGGCGAGUUGAAGGGAUGUGCCCAUGAUCACACUGCAGUUCUAACCACAUAGCUCCCCAGCCUGGGUUCUUGCCAUGGUGCUGCCUGGCAGUGUGGAAGGGAAUGGGUGGGAGUAGAUUGGGUGCAGUGUCCACAUACCCUUCACCCGGGCCCCAGCGCCCUCCUCCUCUCUCUCCUGGCCCGUCUCCCCACCCCUGCCAAAGGCAGGCCCUCAGAGGGCUCAGGUCUGCAGCCCCAUGAGCAUCCCUUUCUGACUCCCGCGUCCCUCCUUGGGCUACAGUGCCUCUCUUAGGUCUAACCUGAGUCCUCCCCGUGUUAGCUAUGGCCCGCUUCCCCCCAACCUGCCUUGUGGGCUGGCAAAUGGCAGCCACUCUUAUUGAGAUGCACCCCCGGCCCCCUGAUGCAGAAAAGAGGUCACCAACCCCUUCUCCAGGGCAUCGUCCUUUCUGGCCCAGGGGUCCCCUGAAGCUCUACCAGCCUCCCCGGCAGGAGGAGCCGCAGCUCCUCAGACUCAGAGAAGUCACCGUGAGCCCAAGAGAGAAAUCAGGCAGAGCAGGAAAUCAGACAUCUGGUUCUGAGCAAAGGUCCAGAGCCCUAUUCCUCCAGCUAGCACUUCUGGUGCCUAAAUCCAGCAGGGCAAGAGUAUAAGAUGCCAAGUGGGGCCAGGCAGGAGCCAGCUUCCCCAGCACACCUGGCCAGGUGAGCAGGCGGUGGAGCCAAGAGCCAGCUCAUCGCUUGGGUGUAAACAGCAGCCCAGUGGGAAGUUGGCAGCCACCUCCUGUGCCCUUUCCCCAGCCCCGUCCCCACGAGCCCCACCCCAGGGAAAGAGGGUGUCCCAACUUGUUGGAGGAGUUUCCAUCUCACAGCUGUGUCCAUACCGGGUGGGUGUGUGGGGUGGCUGAAGGGGCCCACAGACAAUCUUUGUCCUCCAGACCCACCCCCUUCUUCUCUGGUGCUGGGACGGCGCCAGGGUUCUUGGAAUGCCGAGGCCCCCCUUGCACCCACCCCACCCCAGAUGCCUCUGCCACUCACUCCCAGGGCCCACGCCAGCAGAGCAGAGCAAGGGCAGUCUGUGAGCAGGAUCGUGCCCUGAGGGGGGUGCCCCUUGGCUCCUGUUCCCACCAGAUGGGAGCCGUAUCCCUUGGAAGAAAGGGUGCAGCUCCAAGGUGUCCAGAAGGAGGAAGAAAACAAGUCUCCAUCAAGCCCUGCAUUUUACAGACAUGAUCUGGGAGAUGGGGAUUGCCACCCCUACUUUAAAGAUGGGGAAACUAAGGCUAGACCAGCAGUUGUAUGAGGGCUUGGACUCUCUCUGCCUUGUUUUCCCCUGUCUCCCUGGUACCUGGCACACAGCAAGAGCUCAUGGUGUGCUUGUGGAGUGGAUGAAUGAGGCUCAGAGAGGGCAAGUGACCUGGCCAGAAAGUUGCUCAACGGGGAAUCAACCCAGUUUGAAUCCUAAAGCCAGGCUGUUCCUGAGACCCACCCACUGAGGUGGGGUAGCACUCGUGCAUGCAUGAAUGUGCACCCACCCUGCUGUGAGAGUCCUGUCCACGCUCAUAUACACACCUACACUCACAGCCCUCAGCCGAGAGCCCCCACCUGCCACCCCACUCAAGCCCAGUGGUGGGCCCUCUCCCACCCCCUGCCACCUCUGGCAGGCACUCAAACUUCCUUCUGCACUGGUCUCACACCCUCCUCUGUCACCACCCCCCUCCUCCACUCCUGGAGAAGGCAGGAUGGUGCAUGCCCUCUUCCACCCCCACAGCCCUGGCGCCCUGGCGCCCUGUCUUCCUCCUCAGGCCCCAGUAGCCACACUGGCACCACUGCGCUGGAGAAGACUGGGGAAGCACAGAACGUCAGAGCAGGGGCGCAAUGUGCAGACGGACGGUCAGCCUCGGGCCAAGGACCGGGCAGCAUGAGGGCCACCGUGGUAGAGCUGGUACCCAGGCAGAGUCGGGGGCCUGGCUGUCUGCAGGGCAGUUCCAAGACUGGGGGCCACCUCCCUGCUGUGUCACAAGGUCGAGCCCCAGGGAGCAGCUGACACUGCAGACCUGAAGGACCAGAACCUCUUCCUGCUUUGCGCAACCCCAGACCUGCUGGGGGGUCAGCUGGGGUCUCAGGUCUCCAGGCAAGGGGGCCGGGGACUCUCUCCAAAGCAGGUUGAACCUGCCGUGUGGCCCUCCUGCUUCCCCACUAAUAAAGGGCCCACAGGGCAGGGGUGGUCAGGGAGGCAGGGACCCCUGCAAGUACAGAUGGCACGUGCCAGACUACGCUUGAGACCCUCCUCAGUUUUUCACUGACCCUCACAGCAACCCUGGGAGACAGGCACUAAUUUAUCUUAGGUACCAAUAUCAUUCCCAUUUUCGAGAGGGGUAAACCCAGUCCCAGAGAGUUAAGGCACCCGACCAGGGCCCCCAAUUCCUGGCAAACAAGAGGCGUUUGCUAAGUAUUUGUUGAGUGGAUGAAGUCGAGGGGGGAGUGACUCGCUCAAGAGCAUCAGCAGAGUCAGAUCUGAACCCAGGUCUGACCCCGAAGCCCCUUGGUUUCUCUGCCUCGACUGAACUCUGCAGCCUUGGGACCGACGGACAAGCACAGCUGACAUAUUUACCCCUCACGGGCAUCAUGAGAUGUGACCAGCUUUCCGGGGCUCCACGCUGUUUCCUUUCACCCCGAGAAAGGCAAAAGCAGCCCCUGACAGCCAGGAGCCGGCCUGGCCCUCCCAGCUAGGCCACGGUGUGCUCCUGUGGAGCACAAAAAAUUUCACAGAUCACCAGCAUCAGACAAGGCCACUCGAUGACUGUGAUGGAUUAAGACAAAAAACAAGACCGCUCUGUAAUCGUGUCUGAACACAGACAAAAAAAUGAACGUGGUCCAAACCACAAAAAUGAUUGAAUGUCCCUUUAUCCUGGCUAAAUGAGUGACAGCUGCUUCUUUGCCAAUCACAGCUUUAGCUUCAAUUCAUCCCACUUCCCUUCUAGACUAAAAUGAUGACGGUACCCAAUCACAGAAUCACCCCUGCUUUGUGAUGGCAUCCAACCCAGAGCAAAGCUCCUCUCCCUGGAGCCGUCCUCCCCAGGAGCACCUGACGCCAGCCUGAGUCCCUUCCAGCCCUUCCUCGCCCCCUCGCUGGGGCGCCCCGCAGUUUCUUGAGGUGCGUGUUCUCCCUCGUUGCAAUAAGCGGUAAAGCCAACUUGCUUCACUUGGUUCGGGUGUGUUUCUGGCGGCCUUUGGCUGGAAGGCAUCCCCAAAGUCUGAGGACAACUGAGCAAGUCGUGUUUCCUUCAGCCCAUUUUGCGGAUGCCCCUGGAGCUGCGGGCCAGGAGAGCGCCAGCCCUGAUGGAGCGUGGUGGUGGCAGAGGAGCCGAGAUCUCCUAGGAGCCCGUGUUUCAGGCUCUCUGACUGGAGAACCAUUAACUCCUGCAGCACCUACCAGCCCGUCCGCCACAGCCCACCUGUGAGCCUUGAAACCCGGCCACCCCCCAACCAUGGCUGGGCUCCAAGCACCUGCGGAGGGAGGAUUGGAGAAGGGAACCAGCACUGGACCAGGAGUCAGGAGACCUGGGCUCUGGUCUUGCCUCUGCCUCUCAUUGGCCUGAGGCUCAGUUUAUCCAUCUGUACGACAGACCGGGGUGGGGCUGAGUCUGGGAAAUGAUCAAAGGAAGCCCUCCUCAGUUAGAUCACGGCCCCAGCUGCCUGCUAUAACCUGUCAGUGCUCAGGACAGAAAGCUUCUAGACUCCCCUCCCAACGCCUGGUCCCCUGAGGGUUAACAAACUUUCCCCUUCCAGGCUUGAUGUUGUGGGGUGACCCGGGGAGCAGGUGAGGGGCCGGGGUCCUACCUGUCCCCAGUCACUAGAAUCCGGGCUGGGCAGAGACCCUUCCUGAGAGCUCAGGGCUAAGAGUUCAUGGCCUCUGCAGCCCGUCCCUCCCUGUCGCCCAGAUCGGGGCCCCAUCCAAGCCAAACAGACCGGAGGAGGAGCCGGAGGUGCCACAGGAAGGGCCUGGGGGCCCGCGGGGGACAGGCUGGCAGGGGCAGUCAAGGAAGGCAGUCUGUGUAGCCUCAUUCAGCUCUACAUCCUGCUUCUCCUGCGCAAGGGGAUGUGGCCGGCCGCCAUUCUGCCCCAGGCGGGAGCAGAGGAAGGGGACCCAAGCGGAGGGAUGAGGCAGAGCCAAGGACCUUUCCUGAAAGGAAUUGCUUAGCGCAGAAGGUCAAGGGAGUUGGCUUUCCCUCAGGCGUGGGAGCCUCUGCUCCUUGCAGUCCUUGGGAGGGGAAGAGCGAAGAAGAGAAUCCAGACAGGGGGGCCGGGCCCACCUCCCAGCUUCACCCCUCGAUCCCCUCCUGCCUCGCCCUCCAUUCUGAUUCACCAGCUCCGCUCUGCACCUUCACAGAAGAUCUGGAAUGCCCUUCCCUCCCUGACCCCUGUUUGCCAGGUAGUUGUUACACGUCUCUCAAACCUCGGCUUAAAUACUACUUCCUCUUGGAAGCCCCCCUGCUUGGAUCUCCUUGCAGUGUACCGUGCGGCUCCCUCUGCUUCCCCCUCCCACCCUUCAUCUCGCUGGGUUGAAACCAACUGUCUAUUACCUUCCUCGAGGGUAAGGGACAGCCUCUGUGUUGUUCAUAGCUGAAUCCCCAGGGCCCAAAAUGGGCCUGGCAUACUGUGGGUGCCACAUAAGUACUUGAUGAUGGGUAAAUACAGCAAUGGAGAUGUGGACUCUAGGAACUAGAGCUGGGAGCAAGGGACCUUGAGUUGGGAAAGCUUCUGGUGGCAAAGUUCUGUGCAGGAAUUUGAGAUUAGGAGAUGCCUGAGAUGAGUUCUUGGCCUGGACACAGCCUGGGAAAUGCCAAAGGGAAAUUAUGGCGUGGCUGGGGCUUCCACCUCCAGGGACGGUGGGAUAGGUAAUUUGGACCAACCCUCCUGCUGAAGACAAUUAAAAUGCCUAGAUUCAGUUAAAAAAGAUCAUCUUCUUAAGGCCAACAAAUGAUUAACAAGGUAGUGAAGAGUUCCCUAACAGAAUCUGGAAAGUGAGGAUCCAGGGAGGAAAGCCCUGUGUGGAAGACCACGUCUGCCCGAGGGCAUUGUCAAUCUGGAAGAAACGGUACUGAGCUGUAUUGUUUGUUUAUUUAUUUUUUGGGGGGAAGAUUAGCCCUGAGCUAACAUCUGCCGCCAAUCCUCCUCUUUUUUGCUGAGGAAAACUGGCCCUGAGCUAAAAUCCGCUCCCAUCUUCCUCUACUUUGUAUGUAGGACGCCUACCACAGCAUGGCUUGCCAAGCGGUUCCACAUCCACACCCGGGACCCGAACCAGCAAACCCCAGGCUGCUGAAGCCGAACGUGGAAACAAGACACCAAAAGCAAGAAUCAGCACAAAAAAGGGCAACAGAAAUAAUAAGUAUGCGACAUGUGGAAGUGUUAGCUAGUCUUGCGCUGGUAAUCACAUUGCAAUAAAUGAAUGUAUCAAAUCGACACAUUGUAUGCCCUAAACUUACACAAUGUUACAUGAUGAUAAUAUCUCAAUUAAAAAAAAAAGGACAACAGAAAUAGACCACAAGGACUUUAGGUAUUGGAAUUACCAAAAAUUAUGGUCUUAGAAUCACAGGCUCAAAGAUCCUCAAGGACAAGUUCAUCCUAAAAUGCAUGUGGAAAAACAAGGGACCAGAGUAGCCAAAACAACCUCGAAAAAGAAGAACAAAUGUGAAGGACUCACACUUCCUGAUUUCAAAGCUUCCCACAAAGCUACCGGAAUCAAGACUGCGUGCUACCAGUGUAAGGACAGACACGUAGAUCAAUGGAGUAGAAUUGAAAGUCCAGAAAUAAACCCAUAUACAAUGGUCAAUUGACUUUUGACAAGGGUACCAACAAACUCAAUGGGGAAAUCAUCUCUUCAAUAAAUAAUGCAGGGACAACUGGAUUUUCAUGCAAAAGAAUGACGUUGGACCUCUACUUCACACCAUACACCCACAUACACCAUUAACUCAAAAUGGAUUAAAGUUCUAAAACUGUGAGCUAAAAUUAUAAAACUGUUAGAAGAAAACAGGUGUAAAUCUUCGUGACCUUGGAUUAAGCAAUGGUUUCUUAGAUAUGACAUCUAAGCGUAAGCAAAGAAUGAAUAGACAAAUUGGACUUGAUCAAAAUUUAAAACUUGAGCUUCAAAGGACACUACGUGAAAAGACAAUCCACAGAAUGGAAAAAAAUAUUUGCAACUGAAAUAUCUGAUAGGGGCCUCAUAUCUGGAAUAUAUAAAGAACUCUUACAGUUCAACAAUCAAAUGCCAAAUAAUCCGAUUGAAACAUGAGCAAGGAUUUGAAUAGACAUUUCUCUAAAGAUGAUGUAUGAAUGGCCAAUAAACACAUGAAAAGAUGAUCAACGUCAUUAAUGGUUAUGAAAUUGUAAAUCAAAACCACAAAGAGAUACCACUUCACACCCACUAAGACGACUACAAUAAAAAAGACACAUUAACAAGUGUUGGCAGAGAGGCGGAGAAAGUGAAGUCUUUAUACACUCCUAGUGGGGAUAUAAAAUGGUGCAGCCACUUUGGAAAACAGUUUGGCGGUGUCUCAAAAAGCUAAAGAUGGAGUUCCCGUAUGCUGCAGCAAUUCCACGCCGUGGAAGACAUCAAGAGAAUGGAAAACAUGUUUACAGAGAAACUUAUACUUGAAUGUUCAUCACAGUGUUAUUCGUAAUAGCCCCAAAGUGGAAACAAUCCAAACGUCCAUCCUCGAAAUAGGGUGCACCCAGACAAUGGAAUAUUACUCAGCCAUAAAAAGGAAUGAAGUCCUGACACGUCAUGAAUGAACCUCGAAAACAUGCUGCGUGAAAGAAGCUUGACACAACCCUGCAUGUUCGUUCCAUUUAUACGAAAUGUCCAGAACAGGUGAAGCCAUG